AGGAGGCAGUGGCGACUAAUCACGUAUAAAUGGCACCCAAACAGGACCCGAAUCCUAAAUUUCAGGAGGAUGAAAGGGGAUUGUGCUUUCAUGAGCCUCUUGUUUAUGAAGCAAAGUGUGUAAAGAUUGCUAUAAAGUACAAACAAGUGAAGUAUUUUAUACAUUCUGUGGUUGGAAUAAAAAUUGGCAUGAGUGGGUUCCAGAGGAGCAGAGUGCUCAAGUAUGUGGACACCAAUCUGCUGAAGCAGUGGGAGCUUCAGAAAGCCAACCAGGAACAGUAUGCGGAGGGCAAGAUGAGAGGACAGAAAACCUCUGGCUGCAACAGAAAAAUGUCGAUGUGAAAACAAAGAAGAAUAAACAGAUAGCACCGGGAAAUGGAGAUGGUGGCAGCACCAGUGAGACUCUUCAGCCUCUUAGGAAGAAAAGAGCCACUUAGAUCCUACCGUUGAAAAUGAAGAAACAUUCAUGAACAGAGUGGAAGUUUUAGUGAAGAUUCCCGAAGAGCUAAAACCAUGGCUUGUUGAUGACUGGGACUUUAUUACCAGACAAAAGCAGCUCUUUUAUCUUCCUGCCAAGAAGAAUGUGGAUUCCAUUCUGGAGGAUUAUGCAAAUUACAAGAAAUCCCAUGGAAAUACAGUUAAUAAGGAAUAUGCUGUUAAUGAAGUUGUGGCAGGGAUAAAGGAGUACUUCAGUGUCAUGCUGGGCACUCAGCUGCUGUACAAGUUCCAGAGGCCACAGGAUGCUGAAAUUCUCCUGGAUCACACUGACACACCCAUGGCCCAGGUGCAUGGGGCACCACAUCCGUUGCAAUUAUUUGUGCGAACUGGAGCGAUGUUGGCCUAUACACCUCUGGAUGAGAAGAGCCUUAUUUUAUUACUGAAUCACCUUCAUGAUUUCCUGAAAUCUGUGCGUGUUAUCUGCUGCCUGAGUGCAGCAAGUCAGAGACCCUCCUCGCUGUGCAGGGAUGCAGUGAGUCUCCUUGUGAAUUACCAGCCUUUCAGACUACAGACAUGUAUACCAGAAAAUGCCAGCAAACAAUCAGAAGUAGAAGACAUGCAAUUUGACAGCCAUAAAAAGUCCACAGACUUGAAAGAUUAUGGGAAAAGUAGAAAAAUAAGGAAGACCUCAGAAGAGGGGGACAGUGCUUCCCUCAAAAAUGAAUAA